rnacentral:rRNA from 1 species
AAGGGAUUGGGCGUGAGCCUGCCUGGAGCCGCCGUUGGUGCAGAUCUUGGUGGUAGUAGCAAAUACUCGAGCGAUAUCCUGGAGAUCUGAUGUGGAGAAGGGUUCCAUGUGAACAGCCUUUGCACAUGGGUCAGUCUGUCCUAAGCUGCAGGAGAAAUCCGGGUUCUGGCGAAAUUAGCGCUCCCGAAAACCAAUAAAUACAUUGAAUAAAUGGGUGUCGCUACCAAACCUAAGCGAGAGGGAAUCCGGUACUGAUUCCGGAACCUGGUCGCGGAUAACCUCUCUUCGGAGAGGGUUGUUGGGGUCCUCGUGAUCUACACCGUAAGGUAGCUAAACUCGGGGAAGUCGUCCGCUGUCCCGGGCAGAGUUUUCUGUUCUGUAUAAGGGCCCGGAUCCCUGGAAUCGCUCGCGCGGAGAGAGGGAACUGGUUUAUUUUAGCCCGAAGAGAGCCCCGCAGUUCUUGCGGGGUCCGAUUGG